AACCACAUCCACAUGUUUGCCACAUAAUCAGUAAUGGUCUACUGUUCAAAAAAAUCAGUAAACCUGGAUGGCAUGGAGGUACUUGCUGAGGUGUGGGAAAAGGAGAAGAGAGUGCAAGAAAUGCUAGAAAAAUACUGCUCCUAGAGGUUUCCAUACCACAUGCAUGGGAGCUGCCUUAUGUAAAAGCAAAGAAAAAAUGCCAUUGGAAAGAAACACCGCUUCGUGGGCAUCUUGCAUGCAAAUACAUCUGCACUCACAUCUGUGCUGGAAUGCAGACACAGAUACAGAUCAUUAACAUCUAUUUUCUGAAGGUGAUCCAAGGUAUCAAUCACCUGAAUUACUGCAGUAAAACCUAUCCUCUAAUGAAACAAAAGUGAGACGUGAAAAUAAAAGUUUGAGUACAACUCACCAGCAGUCUGAGGCCAUAUGAAGCAACAAUCUCUGAAGAGAUGAGACGGAAGACCAAAGCCAAGGUCUGCUCUCCACAGCUAUCCUGAUGCAGCACCCCCUGCACUGGGAGACUGAAGUGGAAAGUGCCUUGCCAAAGGCCACAGAGGAUAUCAGGGCUGGAGAGCAAACGGACCCUGCCAGUCCCGACUCUGUAGCCUCCAUGUGAUCCCUUUGAAAACUUCAUUUCCUUCUAUUGGACAGAUUUAAAAGAGAAUAAUGAAACAGGGAAUUUUGCUCUUUUUCUUACGACUUGAGGGAGGAAGUCACAAAAGGUUUGAUUGAUGAUUUAAUUAAUUUAAUAAAAGAGGAAUUACCUACA